rnacentral:rRNA from 1 species
CUUGUUUCUCGGGUGGCGAGCGGCGGACGGGUGAGUAAUGCCUGGGAAAUUGCCCUGAUGUGGGGGAUAACCAUUGGAAACGAUGGCUAAUACCGCAUGAUGCCUACGGGCCAAAGAGGGGGACCUUCGGGCCUCUCGCGUCAGGAUAUGCCCAGGUGGGAUUAGCUAGUUGGUGAGGUAAGGGCUCACCAAGGCGACGAUCCCUAGCUGGUCUGAGAGGAUGAUCAGCCACACUGGAACUGAGACACGGUCCAGACUCCUACGGGAGGCAGCAGUGGGGAAUAUUGCACAAUGGGCGCAAGCCUGAUGCAGCCAUGCCGCGUGUGUGAAGAAGGCCUUCGGGUUGUAAAGCACUUUCAGUAGGGAGGAAGGUGGUGUGUGAAUAGCGCUAUCAUUUGACGUUACCUACAGAAGAAGCACCGGCUAACUCCGUGCCAGCAGCCGCGGUAAUACGGAGGGUGCGACGUUAAUCGGAAUUACUGGGCGUAAAGCGCAUGCAGGUGGUUUGUUAAGUCAGAUGUGAAAGCCCCGGGCUCAACCUGGGAAUUGCAUUUGAAACUGGCAAACUAGAGUACUGUAGAGGGGGGUAGAAUUUCAGGUGUAGCGGUGAAAUGCGUAGAGAUCUGAAGGAAUACCGGUGGCGAAGGCGGCCCCCUGGACAGAUACUGACACUCAGAUGCGAAAGCGUGGGGAGCAAACAGGAUUAGAUACCCUGGUAGUCCACGCCGUAAACGAUGUCUACUUGGAGGUUGUGGCCUUGAGCCGUGGCUUUCGGAGCUAACGCGUUAAGUAGACCGCCUGGGGAGUACGGUCGCAAGAUUAAAACUCAAAUGAAUUGACGGGGGCCCGCACAAGCGGUGGAGCAUGUGGUUUAAUUCGAUGCAACGCGAAGAACCUUACCUACUCUUGACAUCCAGAGAAUCUGGCGGAGACGCUGGAGUGCCUUCGGGAGCUCUGAGACAGGUGCUGCAUGGCUGUCGUCAGCUCGUGUUGUGAAAUGUUGGGUUAAGUCCCGCAACGAGCGCAACCCUUAUCCUUGUUUGCCAGCAGUCAUGUCGGGAACUCCAGGGAGACUGCCGGUGAUAAACCGGAGGAAGGUGGGGACGACGUCAAGUCAUCAUGGCCCUUACGAGUAGGGCUACACACGUGCUACAAUGGCGCAUACAGAGGGCGGCCAACUUGCGAAAGUGAGCGAAUCCCAAAAAGUGCGUCGUAGUCCGGAUUGGAGUCUGCAACUCGACUCCAUGAAGUCGGAAUCGCUAGUAAUCGUGGAUCAGAAUGCCAUCGGUGAAUACGUUCCCGGGCCUUGUACACACCGCCCGUCACACCAUGGGAGUGGGCUGCAAAAGAAGU